UACGGGGGGGGCAAGCGUUGUUCGGAAUUACUGGGCGUAAAGGGCUCGUAGGCGGCCAACUAAGUCGGACGUGAAAUCCCCAGGCUCAACCUGGGAACUGCAUCCGAUACUGGAUGGCUUGAAUUCGGGAGAGGGAUGCAGAAUUCCAGGUGUAGCGGUGAAAUGCGUAGAUAUCUGGAGGAAUACCGGUGGCGAAGGCGGCAUCCCGGACCGACAUUGACGCUGAGGAGCGAAAGCCAGGGGAGCAAACGGG
rnacentral:rRNA from 1 species